GCUCAGAUUGAACGCUGGCGGCAUGCUUUACACAUGCAAGUCGAACGGCAGCGCGGGGAGCUUGCUCCCUGGCGGCGAGUGGCGCACGGGUGAGUAAUACAUCGGAACGUGUCUUCUAGUGGGGGAUAACUGCCCGAAAGGGCAGCUAAUACCGCAUGAGACCUGAGGGUGAAAGCGGGGGAUCGUAAGACCUCGCGCUGGAAGAGCGGCCGAUGUCCGAUUAGCUAGUUGGUGAGGUAAAGGCUCACCAAGGCGACGAUCGGUAGCUGGUCUGAGAGGACGACCAGCCACACCUGGGACUGAGACACGGCCCAGACUCCUACGGGAGGCAGCAGUA
rnacentral:rRNA from 1 species